rnacentral:lncRNA from 1 species
CACCUCCAAGGUUUUCACCAGGAUCUUCAUGUAGAUCUCCGAGAUACCCAGGGAUAAUCCGAAGGCCGAGGGUAAAAGGAUGAGGCCGCCCACCAGCGUCAGCCAGGUGGACAGGAGCUUCACCGCCAGGUCUGCGCCCUCCAUGUCUCAGCACGCCCUCAGGAAGAGGUCCCCAGGAAAGCCGAGAGCGGUAGGUGUCAGAGUCCCAGGCAGUCCAGCCGCAGUUCGGAAAACACAGCGUCCAGCCCGGAGCCGGGCUCUGAGGAGUCUUUGCCGCCCGCCUCGUUCCCUUCAGCUCUGCGGAGCGAAGAGGAAAGGGAAGGCGAGAACUCUCAGAACUACUGCGAUCUCCUUGCUUCCUCCCCUUGGGUCCCGGUUGGCCCCGCAAGCUCACUCUCUACUGGAGGCCCAGGCCAAGCUGUAGCCACGGCAGCCGGCUCAGACCUGAGUGUCUCUGGCGAGAAGACCCAGCUGGGUGACCUACGGGACACCCUAGUGCAGUCAGAGUGCAUGGAGGCAGCCAGGAACGCGCCCCACCCCGGGCCUGAUUUCCUCCGGGUAACGAUUGCGACAACCCCGCGGUGACUCACCGAGGCCCUCCGGCAGCGAGGAUCCCCGCAGGUUCCCUGCACCUCGGCGUGGGCUGCGGGCUAUGCGGGUAGCCAGUGGCUUUCGGGCGCCGGGCUCCCUUUUUCUACACUCUACCCUUGCCCCACCCCCAUCGCCACCCAACAGGGAGCUCCGGGGCAUGACCGCGUCUCCCGGGCGCUGCUGCCUAGAGAGCCGCCGCCCUCCGCCCCGCCCCCCCGCACUCCCAGCAAAGGUUCUUUCGGUAGCAGACUUUCCAUCUUCACCCACAGAACGGACCGCUGACGUCCCCGAUCGCUGCGGAAGAUCUUGUUUGUGAGCCUGCAACACGACCUCCUGGGAAGGGCUUUCGGGAGGAGGAAACUACUGAACAAGGGUGAGGCAGUCGCGCACCGUGGCUCGUGGCUCUCUCUUACCUCCUUCCUAGCUGCAGUCAGGGAAAGAAAGCUCGCCCGCUUUCUCUCUCUCCACAAGUCGCCUUAGCCACUCUGCCACCACCUCUCUAGCCACAAAAUAGACCCAGAAAUUCCAAGCGGUUGUGUCGCAGAAGACUGGAAUUCCAGCACUUACGCUCGGGAAUCUGCGACUGGAGAAUUCCGAGGAGAUGGGUCUGGGCUGUUUUGAGUUCCAACAGUCAGCUUAAGACUAAAUAGGUAGAUCCUUUAUAGACCUUGCUUUAAAAGGGCAGGCGGACCGGUGAGCGGGCGAGGGGGAGGGGAGGACAGGACACCCUAGAGGCUGUUUGUCACUCCCCUCCCUGGAGGAGAUUCCAGUCUAAGCUUCCCUAGCAUCCGCCUACACCGACUGCAGAAAACGCUGCGCAAAUACUAACCUUCACCUAACUGGCUAAGAGUUUCUCAGGGGUCCACGUCCCACGCCGCUGUGAUGAACGGCCUUACUAGAACGAAGAAGGGAAAAUCCUGCACGCGUAUUCCACUGCAGGACAACCAGUUUUAACAAUAAGCGUGAGAAAAGAUAUUGAGAGCAGCAGUUUGCAAAGCGACUGACUAGGAUCCAAACCAUCACCGAGUCGGCCCUCAAUUCUUAGAAGGACCAAACUCUUACUGUUGACAGUCGGGAGUCAGUUUGGGAGCUGGAAAAAGUGAGAGAGCUAGCAAAAUGAACUGAAAGUAUUUACAGCAAAUAUUGCAGAGAAAGCUGCCCUCACCUCCAGAAGGGGUGGAGGAAGAAGGAAGCCGGCCUUAAAGACUGUACAAGUUUGUUCUCUGAGCCUCCUGCCAGGUGUUCUCACCACACCCACCAGGUGCGAUAGUCAGAAAUAGCUGGUGCCUGUUUGAAGUCAGCCUGACUCACUUCCCUAGUUAAGGGCUGAAGUGAAGGAUAGAAUCUACAACAGCUUGUUCUGUCGGGUCCAGCUGUCUGGAGAGAGCUUCAGCACGGACAGUCAACUUCCAGAGGAAGGACGUCGGUCCAGAAUGCAGCAUUUGAAA